GACAGAGGGUGCAAACGUUGCUCGGAAUCACUGGGCGUAAAGCGCACGCAGGCGGAUUGAUAAGUCAGGGGUGAAAUCCCGGGGCUUAACCUCGGAAUUGCCUUUGAUACUGUCUGUCUUGAGUCCGGGAGAGGUGAGUGGAAUUCCUAGUGUAGAGGUGAAAUUCGUAGAUAUUAGGAAGAACACCAGUGGCGAAGGCGGCUCACUGGCCCGGAACUGACGCUCAUGUGCGAAAGCGUGGGGAGCAAACAGG
rnacentral:rRNA from 1 species